GAUGAACGCUGGCGGCGUGCCUAAUACAUGCAAGUCGAGCGAACGGACGAGAAGCUUGCUUCUCUGAUGUUAGCGGCGGACGGGUGAGUAACACGUGGAUAACCUACCUAUAAGACUGGGAUAACUUCGGGACACCGGAGCUAAUACCGGAUAAUAUUUUGAACCGCAUGGUUCAAAAGUGAAAGACGGUCUUGCUGUCACUUAUAGAUGGAUCCGCGCUGCAUUAGCUAGUUGGUAAGGUAACGGCUUACCAAGGCAACGAUGCAUAGCCGACCUGAGAGGGGGAUCGGCCACACUGGAACUGAGCCACGGUCCAGACUCCUACGGGAGGCAGCAGUAGGGAAUCUUCCGCAAUGGGCGAAAGCCUGACGGAGCAACGCCGCGUGAGUGAUGAAGGCCUUCGGAUCGUAAAACUCUGUUAUUAGUGAAGAACAUAUGUGUAAGUAACUGUGCACAUCUUGACGGUACCUAAUCAGAAAGCCACGGCUAACUACGUG
rnacentral:rRNA from 1 species